AGAGAACGAGGAAUGCUCUGUGACUACAGCUCUCAGGCUUGUGCCCUGUCUGUUCCUAAGAGUUCUGUUUCUGAGGUUUAGGAUGGGGUUUUGUGCAGCCAGUUCCUGUGUGCAACAGGCUUAGGGACCGCUGCCAUGAACCUCCGGGAGGGAGCGGGAGGAGUUCUAGGAAAGGCUUCUUUUGUUUGAGAAAGCUCUUCUCAGGGGCAGGGGAUGGUGGGUUGAUGGGGCAGAGAUUGGAGUGGAAGGCUGAGUCAUGAGAACUGAUGGAGCCUGAGAUAUGGGGCUGCCGAGGCUUCCUGUGUGUGCCAGGUGUGGCAGCCUCUGCCAUGCCUGCUGGGAGGGGCUGGUGGGCGACCACCUCUCUCUCCCUGUUCUCGCCUCAGCAGCAAGGUGCCUUACUAGUCAUUUGGAUUACCCAUUCUGAGAGGAAAAUAGAAACCAGCUGGGGUUGGUUUUGAUCAGCGUGCCCUCUCUGGAGGACAGGGGAGUGUCAAGGACCUACAGACCUCGUCUUGACAGCCAGCUCCCAGCUUGGGAAUCCUGCUUGCUUCUAGCUUCUCAUCCUGCUAGGAAACAGUGAGAGCAGCCUGCCUCCCGCUUUCCAUUAACUAAAAGACCACAUAAGCCUCAAAGAAAGGACCUGCCAAGUCUUCUUCCCCAGUCAAAAUGCUCAGAGUCCAAGCAUUUGGUUUGGAAGAAUAAGGCCAAAGACUCACAUUGUUCCAACCGAAGGGCCAGCUGCUGGCUUUUGCACAAUGAGCUUCAUUGUUGAGUAAAUGGAGUCUCUCAGG
rnacentral:lncRNA from 1 species